rnacentral:lncRNA from 1 species
GAUCCAUCACUCUUCCUGCUCCCCCUUACACCACUCCCACUCGGUUUCGUCUCCGGUGAGACUCUCAGUGGUAGCAGAGAACAACAGCAGCAACAACGCCGCCACCACGGCGGCGAUGGCGGUGACCAAACGGAGAAACGACACACAGAGAGAGAGAAAGAAAGAGUGAGCUGGUGAUGACGACCGACGGCGACAAACCAGAGUGAGCCGUAAAUCGCAGCAUCUUCACAUUUGUGAGCCGUAAAUCGCAGCAUCUUCACAUUUGCACAUCACUUAUACAUAAAUCGUUUGCUUUUGGUGUGAUGUUUGAAAGCUUCGAACUGUUUCAGUGAAGACGUAUGAUUUUCGGUCGAAUUUCUGAACUUUUCAAUUAAUCUUGGACUGAUUUGGUUUGUCUCGGAUCGAAUUUUAUAUGUUUCGGACUGUUUUGUUUGAAGUUUCUGUGUGAUAGUUUAGAUUUCGAACAUACUUCUGCUUGAUUACGGAUCAUUUCGGACUUGUAGGAUUGAUUUCGGACUGCUUUACGAUUGAGACUGAAUUUGAUCUCAACUUCCUUUGAAUUUGUUUAAGAUAUAUAUUGAAAGUGAUCUGAGCUUAUUGCUGUAGUUUGUAAAUUGAACAAGAAAAUGCAGAUUUAAGUUUGGAUUUGAAUAGAUUCAAUAGUAAUUGCAUAUUAUCGAUUAGGAUUUCAUGAUUCAAAUCUGACUUAUAGACGUAUUUAAAUAUAACUUCGAGAUCAGAUCUGAUUCUGUACAAGAGAACCGGUUAAGAUUUGAGUUGAACUUUGGUAUACAUCGAAAAGAGAACUUAAAAAUUGCAAAUCUAAUUUGAUAUUCAAGUUGAGUUGGUGUAUUUUGAGUCCAAGAUCAAUAUGUGCAUCUCUAGGUUAUUAGCUUUAGGAUAUUGAAGUUGAGAUCUCUGUGAUUUUCCUUUGAAAGUAUGAAAUGAAAAUUUGGAAGAGUUGA